rfam:Camelus ferus unplaced genomic scaffold scaffold56579, whole genome shotgun sequence.
GAGGGUAUAGCUCAGUGAGUGGUAGAGCACAUGCUUAGCAUGCAUGAGGUCCUGGGUUCAAUCUCCAGUACCUCCA